rnacentral:rRNA from 1 species
UACGGAGGGGGCUAGCGUUGUUCGGAAUUACUGGGCGUAAAGCGCACGUAGGCGGCUUUGCAAGUGACGGGUGAAAUCCCUCGGCUUAACCGAGGAACUGCCUGUCAAACUGCAUGGCUUGAGACCGGGAGAGGUGAGUGGAAUUCCCAGUGUAGCGGUGAAAUGCGUAGAUAUUGGGAGGAACACCAGUGGCGAAGGCGGCUCACUGGACCGGUACUGACGCUGAUGCGCGAAAGCGUGGGGAGCAAACAGG